CGACGCGGGGCUCGAUCCCAGGACCCCGGGAGCGUGACCCGAGCCGAAGGCAGACGCUCAACGACUGAGCCCCCCUGGGCGCCCCUGGCCGCAGGGUCUUGCCCUUGGUUCAUGCUUCAAAGGAGGGAGGGUGGCCGCGCGCCCUGGCGCAGGCCGAACCCUCAUCCUGCGGGGGUUUCAGUUCGGAUAGUUAAACAUCUUAACCGGCUCUUUUCUGCUGGGGGCACGACGAUGUCAGAAGUCGUCCCCAGCGCCGGUCGUCGGGAUCGUGGCCCAGGAGACUGUCCCUGCGCCCAGCCAGCCCCCUGCCCCUGGCCGCCGCUGCUCCUGCCGGUCCACCUCUUUUCCAGCGCUUGAGCGCUCAGCUUUGAGACUGCUCGAGCUUUCGGCUCGUUUAGUAGAAAAAUCAGACCAGACGAGGAAACAGACUCAAAAAUUAAAAGCAACCGGGCUGAGAAGUGAUGGCACGGUCUCAGAGCUGUUCUGACUGGUUUCUGGGCCUGCACUCUCCCCCGUUAUUCCUUAGGUAUUAUAAAAGUAACGCGGCGUGUGAACCCUUCCCCUGCCUCACUGCUGAAACUAGGAAGGUGUAGGGACGGUUUUUAAGCUCAGUGUCCUGAUGACGGGUGCUCAGCCCUCCAGCAGCUGGUGCUUCUGCAGAGAGAGCACAAGUGGGCAGAGCGGCAGGCAGAGGGAGAGGG